rnacentral:lncRNA from 1 species
GCGUGGGGAUGCUGCCACACAGUGCGCCGUUAUUGUCCAGCCACAGGAGCUGCAGCGCGCCCAUGCCGCCAGGACCAGCCCAGGCGGCCGGAAUGGUCGAGUAGAAGCCGUUGCCCGACAGGUCCAGCUCCGUCAGACGCGUCAGCGCGGACCAAGACACAGGCAGCAGGCCGCCGAGGCCCGGCCCGUUGUUGGCCACGCUGACGUACUCCAGCUGCGUCAUCUGGGAGUACGAGUCCGGAAGCGUGCCCGUCAGCGUGUUGCCGCUCAACGUCACUGAGCGCAGCGUGCGCACUUGCACCAGGCUGGCCGGCAGGGGGCCAGCCAGCCGCGGCGAGGUGGACGGCAGGCUCAGGUCCACCACGUUGCCGCUGCCGUCGCAGCUGACGCCGUACCAGCUGGUGCAUGGGUUCGGAUGCAUCACGUCGUCCCAUGUGCUGAGCGCCGUGGAGUUGCCCAGCUCGUAUUUGACCUGCAGCAGCGCGUUGGCUGCAGUGGGCGGAGCGGGCGGCGCCGGGCUGGGCGGCGCGGGGCUGGGCGGCCGCGGGCUAGGCGGGUCCGGGCUGGGUGGCGUGGGGCUGGGUGGUGCCGGGCUGGGCGGUACAGGCGGCGCGGGGCUGGGCGGCACGGGCGAAGGGGGCGCCGGUGAGGGCGGAGGAGAUGGCGCUGGCGGCUCCGGGCUGGGCGGCAUGGGGGACGGCGGCUCUGGGCUGGGCGGUGCAGGUGAAGGGGGCGCUGGAGACGGCGGCACAGGAGGCGCAGGGCUCGGCGGUACCGGAGGUGCCGGUGACGGUGGCUCUGGGCUGGGCGGUGCAGGUGAAGGGGGCGCUGGAGGCGCAGGGCUGGGAGGAACAGGCGGCGCAGGGCUCGGGGGCGCUGGGCUGGGCGGCACAGGCGACGGAGGUGGGCUGGGAGGCGUAGGCGGAGGCGGCGGGCUGGGACACGUCGCCGGAAUCUGCGUGCCGUUGUACACAUACACCGCAGACGGCACCGCGCCGCACAUCAGCGAGUUGCCACUGAGGUCCACGCGGAACAGACCCGUCAGCACGCUCCAGCCAGAUGGAACAGGCCCGGUCAGCAGAUUCCCGCUCAGGUCCAGCGUGCGCAGGUUGCUCAGCGCAGACCACUCGGCAGGCAGCUGGCCAGAGUACCGGUUGCCCAGCAGCUCCAGGCGAGUCAGAGACGUCAGGACACUCCACGACCGCGGUAACGUGCCCGUCAGGCUGUUGUUGGUGGCGCGAAUGGUGCUCAGGCUGGACACGAACGCCCACGACUCCGGCAAGGAGCCCGUGAGGUUGCGCUGGUUCAGCACCACCGUGGUGGGCUGUCCUGCCGUGCACGACACGCCCGUCCACGCAGCCGUACAGGGGUCGCUGCUGGUGUUCCAGCCCAGAAUCGCAGCCGGCAACGGACUGGCCGUCACCCGCAGGUCCGCAAGCGCAUAGCCAAACGAAGGCGGAGGUGGAGACGGAGGCGCCGGCGACGGAGGGGCAGGGCUGGGAGGCGCAGGGCUGGGAGGCACAGGAGGCGGAGACGGCGGGGACGGGCACGCCAGACCAACCUGCGUGCCGCUGCUCGUCACCGGACUGCCAGCAGCCCACGGCGUGGGGAUGCUGCCACACAGUGCGCCGUUGUUGUCCAGCCACAGAAGCUGCAGCGCGCCCAUGCCGCCAGGACCAGCCCAGGCGGCCGGAAUGGUCGAGUAGAAGCCGUUGCCCGACAGGUCCAGCUCCGUCAGACGCGUCAGCGCGGACCAAGACACAGGCAGCAGGCCGCCGAGGCCCGGCCCGUUGUUGGCCACGCUGACGUACUCCAGCUGCGUCAUCUGGGAGUACGAGUCCGGAAGCGUGCCCGUCAGCGUGUUGCCGCUCAACGUCACUGAGCGCAGCGUGCGCACUUGCACCAGGCUGGCCGGCAGGGGGCCAGCCAGCCGCGGCGAGGUGGACGGCAGGCUCAGGUCCACCACGUUGCCGCUGCCGUCGCAGCUGACGCCGUACCAGCUGGUGCAUGGGUUCGGAUGCAUCACGUCGUCCCACGUGCUGAGCGCCGUGGAGUUGCCCAGCUCGUAUUUGACCUGCAGCAGCGCGUUGGCUGCAGUGGGCGGAGCGGGCGGCGCCGGGCUGGGCGGCGCGGGGCUGGGCGGCCGCGGGCUAGGCGGGUCCGGCCUGGGUGGCGUGGGGCUGGGUGGUGCCGGGCUGGGCGGUACAGGCGGCGCGGGGCUGGGCGGCACGGGCGAAGGGGGCGCCGGUGAGGGCGGAGGAGAUGGCGCUGGCGGCUCCGGGCUGGGCGGCAUGGGGGACGGCGGCUCUGGGCUGGGCGGUGCAGGUGACGGGGGCGCUGGAGACGGCGGCACAGGAGGCGCAGGGCUCGGCGGUACCGGAGGUGCCGGUGACGGUGGCUCUGGGCUGGGCGGUGCAGGUGAAGGGGGCGCUGGAGGCGCAGGGCUGGGAGGAACAGGCGGCGCAGGGCUCGGGGGCGCUGGGCUGGGCGGCUCCGGAGAAGGCGGCACAGGAGGCGCAGGGCUGGGAGGAACAGGCGGCGCAGGGCUCGGAGGCGCUGGGCUGGGCGGCACAGGCGACGGAGGCGGGCUGGGAGGCGUAGGCGGAGGCGGCGGGCUGGGACACGUCGCCGGAAUCUGCGUGCCGUUGUACACAUACACCGCAGACGGCACCGGGCCGCACAUCAGCGAGUUGCCACUGAGGUCCACGCGGAACAGACCCGUCAGCACGCUCCAGCCAGAGGGAACAGGCCCGGUCAACAGAUUCCCACUCAGGUCCAGCGUGCGCAGGUUGCUCAGCGCAGACCACUCGGCAGGCAGCUGGCCAGAGUACCGGUUGCCCAGCAGCUCCAGGCGAGUCAGAGACGUCAGGACACUCCACGACCGCGGUAACGUGCCCGUCAGGCUGUUGUUGGUGGCGCGAAUGGUGCUCAGGCUGGACACGAACGCCCACGACUCCGGCAAGGAGCCCGUGAGGUUGCGCUGGUUCAGCACCACCGUGGUGGGCUGUCCUGCCGUGCACGACACGCCCGUCCACGCAGCCGUACAGGGGUCGCUGCUGGUGUUCCAGCCCAGAAUCGCAGCCGGCAACGGACUGGCCGUCACCCGCAGGUCCGCAAGCGCAUAGCCAAACGAAGGCGGAGGUGGAGACGGAGGCGCCGGCGACGGAGGGGCAGGGCUGGGAGGCGCAGGGCUGGGAGGCACAGGAGGCGGAGACGGCGGGGACGGGCACGCCAGACCAACCUGCGUGCCGCUGCUCGUCACCGGACUGCCAGCAGCCCACGGCGUGGGGAUGCUGCCACACAGUGCGCCGUUGUUGUCCAGCCACAGGAGCUGCAGCGCGCCCAUGCCGCCAGGACCAGCCCAGGCGGCCGGAAUGGUCGAGUAGAAGCCGUUGCCCGACAGGUCCAGCUCCGUCAGACGCGUCAGCGCGGACCAAGACACAGGCAGCAGGCCGCCGAGGCCCGGCCCGUUGUUGGCCACGCUGACGUACUCCAGCUGCGUCAUCUGGGAGUACGAGUCCGGAAGCGUGCCCGUCAGCGUGUUGCCGCUCAACGUCACUGAGCGCAGCGUGCGCACUUGCACCAGGCUGGCCGGCAGGGGGCCAGCCAGCCGCGGCGAGGUGGACGGCAGGCUCAGGUCCACCACGUUGCCGCUGCCGUCGCAGCUGACGCCGUACCAGCUGGUGCAUGGGUUCGGAUGCAUCACGUCGUCCCACGUGCUGAGCGCCGUGGAGUUGCCCAGCUCGUAUUUGACCUGCAGCAGCGCGUUGGCUGCAGUGGGCG